GCCGAAGUGGUGAAAUUGGUAGACGCGCACGGUUCAGGGCCGUGUGGGAGCAAUUCCGUGUGGGUUCGAGUCCCACCUUCGGCACAA
rnacentral:tRNA from 1 species